UGUGGAAGGGGGUGACUAGGGACAGAGGGGGUGAUUAGUGACAGAGUGAGGGAGGGGGUGACUAGUGACAGAGUGAGGGAGCAGGUGACACAGUGACAGAGUUAGGGAGGGAGUGACUAGUGACAGAGAGAGGGAUGGGGUGACUAGUGACAGUCACCCCCUCCCUCCCUCCCUCUGUCACUAGUCACUCCCUCCCUCUGUUACUAGUCACUCCCUCACUCUGUCACUCUGUCACCAGUCAUCCCCUCACUGUGUCACCAGUCACCCCUUCCCUCCCUCACUCUGCCACUAGUCAUCUUUUCCCUCCCUCACU